rnacentral:rRNA from 1 species
CCUACGGGUGGCGGCAGUGGGGAAUAUUGCACAAUGGGGGAAACCCUGAUGCAGCAACGCCGCGUGAGUGAAGAAGUAUUUCGGUAUUUAAAGCUCUAUCAACAGGGAAGAGAAUGACGGUACCUGACUAAGAAGCCCCGGCUAACUACGUGCCAGCAGCCGCGGUAAUACGUAGGGGGCCAGAGUUAUCCGGAUGUACUGGGGGUAAGGGGAGCGUAGACGGCUGGCCAAGUCUGAAGUGAAAGCUCGGGGCUUAACCCCGGAACGGCUGUGGAACCGGGCCGGCUGGAGGGCUGGAGAGGCAGGCGGAAGGCGUGGUGUAGCGGUGAAAGGCGUAGAUAGCAGGAGGAACACCGGUGGCGAAGGCGGCCUGCUGGACAGUAACUGACGUGGAGGCGCGAAAGCGUGGGGAGCAAACAGGAUUAGAGACCCCAGUAGUC